CUCUAGCCUUGAGCAAAGAAGCUGAGGGACAGCACCCAGGCCCUGAGUUUCAAGCCCCAGGACUAGCCAAAAAAAAAAGAAAACUAGAAGCUGGAUAUCUGUGGCUGAUGUCUGUAAUUGUAGCUAUUUGGGAGGCUGAGAUUGUUGGGAUCAUGGUUGCAGUCCAGAGAAAAAGUUUGUGAGGUCUUUUUUCAACAGGAAAGAAGAAUAUAUCUAUGAAAAAGUAAAUAUUUUCCAGUAACUUCACUGUGGAGCCAAGCAUGACAAACAUUAAUGAAGUGAUCAAGAUUAACUCUUCAGUGAUGCCAUUUAGUUAGCACGAUACAUACUGAAGGGCACUUGAUUUCUUUCCAUAAACUCAAAUACAUGAGAUGACAAAUAGAUUUGGUCAGGAUAGGAGGGGAUUAUUGGAGACCCAGUAAGUUGCUACCUUCCCAUUUCCUUGGUUAGUUUUGUAUCUCCUUAAGCUUUAUAUGGCUGUGACUCAGUUAACUACAUGUUCUGGAAAAUUAAUGGUAGCUAUUAUUAUGGACUGGGGGUGUGUGGCUUCAGAAACUAGAUCGUGAGUAUAGUAUUAAAUACACUUAAGUUCUUAGUAUAAAAGGUCAUUAAUAUUUUUAGUUUUAUUGACCAAGUGGCUCCAGUGUGAUUUGAGACAAUGUUUUGCUAUACAGCUCAGGCCUUGCCCAAACUUCAUUUAGUUUCCAGGAUUGGCUUGCCCUGGAGACCCUUCUGCCCUUGGCCUCCAGUGCUGGGAUUACACAUCAUGCCUUUUUUCUUAAAAACAGCUUUAGCAGAUAAGAGUUAAACAGUACUUCACUGACUUCCUGUGAAGUUCUGUUGAAAGAAGUUCCCUUGUAUCUAUUUUUAAAGCUAGUUACCAUGACCAAAGGAUGCUGUUGCUGAGUUAUAAAUGUCUUCUCAGUGUGUUCUCAGUUCUAUGGUGACGCUAGUGUUUGUCUAUAGUUGUUUUUUUGUUGUUUCCUGUGUUGUAAUAAGCUCAAAUAAGCCCACCAAGAUUCCUUGGUGUCUUUAUACACUAAGGCAGAUUCUGCCCUUCACAUCGCAGAUACUGAGCCCUGAGUCUAAGGCUUUAAAAUAUUAUUGAACGGAAUUUCUAUUAAGAUCUGUUGCAAAGUACUCUGACAGUAAUUAUUUCCUGUUACAACGUGUGAUGCUUAUGGAGCACAUUUUUGGUUUUAAGAAAUGUAUGCUGGCUCAUGGGGGAGGUGAUGUAGAGUAGGAGAAUGCCUUGGAUUGAUCUUCAGGAACUAUUUUAGUCAGUACUUUGAACUACAUGUAGGCAUCUAGUGCCAUUAUAUCCUUGGGGUCAAUAGCUUUUCCUUUUUUGCAGCUUACUUUACAAGUUUUUAUGAAAGCUUUCUGUCCACUGU